GACGAACGCUGGCGGCGUGCUUAACACAUGCAAGUCGAACGGUGAACCCGCUUCGGUGGGGGAUCAGUGGGGAACGGGUGAGUAACACGUGGGCAACCUGCCCCCGGCUCUGGGAUAACUCCAAGAAAUUGGGGCUAAUACCGGAUAUGACCGCUGACCGCAUGGUCUGGUGGUGGAAAGAUUUAUCGGCUGGGGAUGGG
rnacentral:rRNA from 1 species